rnacentral:rRNA from 1 species
GGCGCGAAAACUCUACAAUGCAGGCAACUGCGAUAGGGGAACAUCGAGUGGCAUCUACAUUAGGUGUCUGUCCAGCUGUCUAAAAAACGGCUGUUAGCAAGGGCCGGGCAAGACCGGUGCCAGCCGCCGCGGUAAUACCGGCGGCUCGAGUGGUGGCCGAUAUUAUUGAGUCUAAAGGGUCCGUAGCCGGCUUUGCAAGUCUUGUGGGAAAUCCAGCGGCUUAACCGUUGGGCGUCUGCGGGAUACUACA